rnacentral:rRNA from 1 species
GAUCAUGGCUCAGGACGAACGCUGGCGGCGCGCCUAACACAUGCAAGUCGAACGAGAGAGGAAGAGCUUGCUUUUCCGAUCGAGUGGCGAACGGGUGAGUAACGCGUGAGGAACCUGCCUCAAAGAGGGGGACAACAGUUGGAAACGACUGCUAAUACCGCAUAAGCCCACGGCUCGGCAUCGAGCAGAGGGAAAGGAAGCAAUCGCUUGAGAUGGCUACGCGUCCGAUUAG